rnacentral:rRNA from 1 species
ACUCAAAGGAAUUGACGGGGACCCGCACAAGCGGUGGAGUGUGUGGUUUAAUUCGAUACUAAGCGAAGAACCUUACCCAGGCUUGACAUCCCGAGAAAGCUCUUGAAAGAGAGCCGUGCCGCAAGGAACUCGGUGACAGGUGUUGCAUGGUUGUCGUCAGCUCGUGCCGUGAGGUGUCCCGUUCAGUCGGUUAACGAGCGCAACCCCUAUUCUGUGUUAGAAAUGUCACAGAAAACUGCUUCAGUUAAUGGAGAGGAAGGUGGGGAUGACGUCAAAUCAGCAUGGCCCUUACGCCUGGGGCUACACACGCACUACAAUGGGAAGUAACAAUGGGUCGCGAAGCCGCGAGGCGGAGCUAAUCCUAGCAAACCUUCCCUCAGUUCGGAUUGGAGGCUGCAACUCGCCUCCAUGAAGCCGGAAUCGCUAGUAACGGCCAGUCAGCCAUAUGGCCGUGAAUACGUUCUCGGGUCUUGUACACACCGCCCGU